rnacentral:rRNA from 1 species
UACGAAGGGGGGCUAGCGUUGUUCGGAAUUACUGGGCGUAAAGCGCACGUAGGCGGGUUGUUAAGUCAGGGGUGAAAUCCCGGAGCUCAACUCCGGAACUGCCUUUGAUACUGGCAAUCUAGAGACUGGAAGAGGUUAGUGGAAUUCCCAGUGUAGAGGUGAAAUUCGUAGAUAUUGGGAAGAACACCAGUGGCGAAGGCGGCUAACUGGUCCAGUACUGACGCUGAGGUGCGAAAGCGUGGGGAGCAAACAGGG